UUUUACCUUCAUCAGGCCAAGGAGCCGGUAUCAGACACAAUCCUAGUCCACAACGCCUAGUCUCACCACACCCCCAAGGGUACUCAGCAGUGAUAAAUCUUGAGCAUAAGCGACAGCUUGACUCAGCCAGAGAAAAGAGGGCCGGCCAACCUGGUGCCAGCCGCCGCGGCUACCCCGUGGGGCUCAAGUUGAAGGCCAUCGGCGUUAAGCGUGAUUAAAGUUCAAUUAGAUUAAGGCCAAAUUAAUAACCUAGUAGUGUAAAGCUUGUUAUUAAGAAGAACACAAACGAAAGUUGCCCUAACCAUCAUACUUGAAUACACGACAGUUGGGAGACAAACUAGGAUCAGACACCCUACUAUGCCCAGCCGUAAACAAUUAACUCACACCCAUAAGCGCCAGGGAACUACGAGCCAUGCUUAAAACCCAAAGGAUUUGACGGUGUCCCACCCCCCUAGAGGAGCCU
rnacentral:rRNA from 1 species